AGGGUUUGAUCAUGGCUCAGGAUGAACGCUAGCGGCAGGCUUAACACAUGCAAGUCGAGGGGUAACAGGAGUAGCUUGCUAUUUGCUGACGACCGGCGCACGGGUGCGUAACGCGUAUAGAAUCUACCUUGUACUAGGGGAUAGCCUUUGGAAACGAAGAUUAAUACCCUAUAGUAAGUAUUUAUGGCAUCAUUUAUACUUUAAAGGUUACGGUACAAGAUGACUAUGCGUCCUAUUAGUUUGUUGGUGAGGUAACGGCUCACCAAGACUUCGAUAGGUAGGGGCCCUGAGAGGGGGAUCCCCCACACUGGUACUGAGACACGGACCAGACUCCUACGGGAGGCAGCAGUGAGGAAUAUUGGACAAUGGAGGCAACUCUGAUCCAGCCAUGCCGCGUGCAGGAUGACGGCCCUAUGGGUUGUAAACUGCUUUUAUGUAGGAAGAAACACUCUCACGUGUGAGAGCUUGACGGUACUACAAGAAUAAGGACCGGCUAACUCCGUGCCAGCAGCCGCGGUAAUACGGAGGGUCCAAGCGUUAUCCGGAAUCAUUGGGUUUAAAGGGUCCGUAGGCGGGCUAUUAAGUCAGAGGUGAAAGUUUGCAGCUCAACUGUAAAAUUGCCUUUGAAACUGGUAGUCUUGAAUUAUUAUGAAGUGGUUAGAAUAAGUAGUGUAGCGGUGAAAUGCAUAGAUAUUACUUGGAAUACCAAUUGCGAAGGCAGAUCACUAAUAAUAUAUUGACGCUGAGGGACGAAAGCGUGGGGAGCGAACAGGAUUAGAUACCCUGGUAGUCCACGCCGUAAACGAUGGAUACUAGCUGUUCGGAUUUAUCUGAGUGGCUAAGCGAAAGUGAUAAGUAUCCCACCUGGGGAGUACGUUCGCAAGAAUGAAAC
rnacentral:rRNA from 1 species